ACCCCCCAGUUCGAGCCUAUUCCUCCUGCGGUCCGGGCACUCUGUAUUGCAGAGUUUCGAGGUUCUAUGGAGUAUGGGAGAGAGGUGCUCAACGUUACUGCUGCUCCUUUCAUCCAAGACUUUGAUGACUACAAAGCUCACCUGUAGGAGAUAAUGCCGUAUCUAAAACUUCACAGCAUCCAGACCGGCAAUAGUGAUGAGGGGGCAAAAACCUCUUUGGAUGAGAAUUGAGCCACCUUGUCUGAUUUUUUGUUUUUCUCUCUUUCCUCUCUCUCUUUUUUUUUGUAAGGUGAUGCUCGAGGCAC
rnacentral:lncRNA from 1 species